GGAUCUGCUCCAUGAUCUUGCUGGGCACCAAUCCAGUAGGAACUUCACCAGACUCCCAUGACUUCUCAAAUAUGUGGCUGAGCCACUUCAUCUGCCAGUUCCUCAGGACUUGAAGAUGCAUCCCAUUUGGUUGCAUGGACUUGUGCACCUUAUGGAAUUCAAGAGGUACCCAACUGAAAUGAAUAUUUUUGAAGGAGUAGUGAAUGUGAAAAAGGCUAACUGAAUUGGCUCUUUGGUUAAAGAAAACUGUCUCCAUAGCUCGCCUUUAGGCAGCAGACACACAUUUACCUCUCUGCCUUGCUGCAAAUGAAGUAAGGAGUGUGGCUGAAUGAGGUAAGCACUGGACUACUGUGCUGCUCCUUGUCUUUUGCU